AGAGUUGAUCUGCUCAGACGACCGCUGGCGGGCGUGCUAACACAUGCAAGUCGAACGCCUCCAUUCGGUAGCAAUACCGAUGAAGAGGGAGUGGCGAACGGGUGAGUAGCACGUGAGCAACCUGCCCCGAAGACUGGGACAACACCGGGAAACCGGUGCUAAUACCGGAUAUCCCUAUCGGACCGCAUGAUCUGAUAAGGAAAUGGAUUCCGCUUCGGGAGGGGCUCGCGGCCUAUCAGCUAGUUGGUGAGGUAAUAGCUCACCAAGGCAUCGACGGGUAGCUGGUCUGAGAGGACGAUCAGCCACACUGGGACUGAGACACGGCCCAGACUCCUACGGGAGGCAGCAGUGGGGAAUCUUGCGCAAUGGGCGAAAGCCUGACGCAGCAACGCCGCGUGGGGGACGAAGGCUUUCUGAGUUGUAAACUCCUUUCAGCAGGGACGAUUGUGACGGUACCUGCAGAAGAAGCACCGGCCAACUACGUGCCAGCAGCCGCGGUGAUACGUAGGGUGCAAGCGUUGUCCGGAUUUAUUGGGCGUAAAGAGCUCGUAGGCGGUUUGAUUAGUCGGGUGUGAAACCUCCAGGCUUAACCUGGAGCCGCCACUCGAUACUGUCAUGACUAGAAUUCGGUAGGGGACCACGGAAUUCCUGGUGUAGCGGUGAAAUGCGCAGAUAUCAGGAGGAACACCAGCAGCGAAGGCGGUGGUCUGGGCCGACAUUGACGCUGAGGAGCGAAAGCGUGGGGAGCGAACAGGAUUAGAUACCCUGGUAGUCCACGCCGUAAACGUUGGGCACUAGGUGUGGGGACUAUUCAACGGUUUCCGUGCCGCAGCUAACGCAUUAAGUGCCCCGCCUGGGGAGUACGGCCGCAAGGCUAAAACUCAAAGGAAUGACGG
rnacentral:rRNA from 1 species